rnacentral:rRNA from 1 species
GGGGCAGCAUUUUAGUUUGCUUGCAAACUGAAGAUGGCGACCGGCGCACGGGUGAGUAACACGUAUCCAACCUGCCGAUAACUCCGGAAUAGCCUUUCGAAAGAAAGAUUAAUACCGGAUGGCAUACGAAUAUCGCAUGAUAUUUUUAUUAAAGAAUUUCGGUUAUCGAUGGGGAUGCGUUCCAUUAGUUUGUUGGCGGGGUAACGGCCCACCAAGACUACGAUGGAUAGGGGUUCUGAGAGGAAGGUCCCCCACAUUGGAACUGAGACACGGUCCAAACUCCUACGGGAGGCAGCAGUGAGGAAUAUUGGUCAAUGGGCGAGAGCCUGAACCAGCCAAGUAGCGUGAAGGAUGAAGGCUCUAUGGGUCGUAAACUUCUUUUAUAUGGGAAUAAAGUUUUCCACGUGUGGAAUUUUGUAUGUACCAUAUGAAUAAGGAUCGGCUAACUCCGUGCCAGCAGCCGCGGUAAUACGGAGGAUCCGAGCGUUAUCCGGAUUUAUUGGGUUUAAAGGGAGCGUAGGUGGAUUGUUAAGUCAGUUGUGAAAGUUUGCGGCUCAACCGUAAAAUUGCAGUUGAAACUGGCAGUCUUGAGUACAGUAGAGGUGGGCGGAAUUCGUGGUGUAGCGGUGAAAUGCUUAGAUAUCACGAAGAACUCCGAUUGCGAAGGCAGCUCACUAAACUGUUACUGACACUGAUGCUC